rnacentral:rRNA from 1 species
UACAGAGGUCUCAAGCGUUGUUCGGAAUCACUGGGCGUAAAGGGCGCGUAGGUGGUGGCUUAAGCGUGCGGUGAAAGCUCGGAGCUCAACUCCGAGUCGGCCGUGCGAACUGGGCUCACUGGAGCAUAGUAGAGGCAGGUGGAAUUCCGGGUGUAGCGGUGGAAUGCGUAGAGAUCCGGAAGAACACCGGUGGCGAAGGCGCCUGCUGGGCUAUGGCUGACACUGAGGCGCGACAGCGU